AUUGAACGCUGGCGGCAUGCUUUACACAUGCAAGUCGAACGGCAGCGCGGGCUUCGGCCUGGCGGCGAGGGGCGAACGGGUGAGGAAGACAUCGGAACGUGCCCAGGAGUGGGGGAGAGCGCGGCGAAAGCCGGAUUAAUACCGCAAACGACCUGAGGGUGAAAGCGGGGGAUCGGCGGACCUCGCGCUAGUGGAGCGGGCGAUGGCCGAUUAGCUAGUUGGUGGGGGAAAGGCCUACCAAGGCGACGAUCUGUAGCUGGUCUGAGAGGACGACCAGCCACACUGGAACUGAGACACGGCCCAGACUCCUACGGGAGGCAGCAGUGGGGAAUUUUGGACAAUGGGCGAAAGCCUGAUCCAGCGAUGCCGCGUGUGUGAUGAAGGCCUUCGGGUUGUAAAGCACUUUUGGCGGGAACGAAAAGGACUGUGCCAAUACCACGGUUCGAUGACGGUACCCGCAGAAUAAGCACCGGCUAACUACGUG
rnacentral:rRNA from 1 species